rnacentral:rRNA from 1 species
UACGUAGGAUCCGAGCGUUGUCCGGAUUUACUGGGUGUAAAGGGUGCGCAGGCGGACUGGUAAGUCAGUGGUGAAAUCUCGUCGCUUAACGACGAAACUGCCUUUGAUACUAUCAGUCUUGAAUCCGGUAGAGAUCUGUGGAAUUCCGAGUGUAGCAGUGAAAUGUGUAGAUAUUGGAAGAACACCAGUGGCGAAGGCAGCAGAUUGGGCCGGUAUUGACGCUCAGGCACGAAAGCAUGGGGAUCAAACAGG